ACGCUGGCGGCAGGCUUAACACAUGCAAGUCGAACGGUAACAGGAAUUAGCUUGCUAAUUUGCUGACGAGUGGCGGACGGGUGAGUAAUGCUUGGGAAUCUGGCUUAUGGAGGGGGAUAACUACGGGAAACUGUAGCUAAUACCGCGUAAAAUCUUCGGAUUAAAGGGUGGGACUUUCGAGCCACCUGCCAUAAGAUGAGCCCAAGUGGGAUUAGGUAGUUGGUUAGGUAAAGGCUGACCAAGCCGACGAUCUCUAGCUGGUCUGAGAGGAUGACCAGCCACACUGGAACUGAGACACGGUCCAGGCUCCUACGGGAGGCAGCAGUGGGGAAUAUUGCACAAUGGGGGGAACCCUGAUGCAGCCAUGCCGCGUGAAUGAAGAAGGCCUUCGGGUUGUAAAGUUCUUUCGGUGACGAGGAAGGUUGAUAGGUUAAUAGCCUAUCAAAUUGACGUUAAUCACAGAAGAAGCACCGGCUAACUCCGUGCCAGCAGCCGCGGUAAUACGGGGGGUGCGAGCGUUAAUCGGAAUAACUGGGCGUAAAGGGCACGCAGGCGGUGACUUAAGUGAGAUGUGAAAGCCCCGAGCUUAACUUGGGAAUUGCAUUUCAUACUGGGUCGCUAGAGUACUUUAGGGAGGGGUAGAAUUCCACGUGUAGCGGUGAAAUGCGUAGAGAUGUGGAGGAAUACCGAAGGCGAAGGCAGCCCCUUGGGAAUGUACUGACGCUCAUGUGCGAAAGCGUGGGGAGCAAACAGGAUUAGAUACCCUGGUAGUCCACGCUGUAAACGAUGUCGAUUUGGGGAUUGGGCUUUGAGCUUGGUGCCCGUAGCUAACGUGAUAAAUCGACCGCCUGGGGAGUACGGCCGCAAGGUUAAAACUCAAAUGAAUUGACGGGGGCCCGCACAAGC
rnacentral:rRNA from 1 species